rnacentral:rRNA from 1 species
GACGUAGGGGGCGAGCGUUGUCCGGAAUUACUGGGCGUAAAGCGCGUGCAGGCGGCUUUGUAAGUCCCGUGUGAAAGCCUACGGCUCAACUGUAGGAGGCCGCGGGAUACUGCGAGGCUGGAGGGCAGGAGAGGGAAGUAGAAUUCCCGGUGUAGCGGUGAAAUGCGUAGAUAUCGGGAGGAAUGCCAGUGGCGAAGGCGGCUUCCUGGCCUGUCCCUGACGCUGAGACGCGAAAGCUGGGGGAGCGAACGGG